GAAUCUUUCCCCUCAGAGGAACAUUUAUUUCUUUGUUCUUUAAUGUAAAUUUCUCCUCGACCGUUCUCCAGACGUGGACAACUAUUCUGAAGACAAUGACAGUUAUUCUUCAGAGCAGGAGGUCAGUGAUGAUGCCGUUCAGGGUCAGUGGAUAUGAACAGAAGUUCAGAUGCGUCUAUAGCGCUUCACUCUACAGCUGUUGAGCAGACGGCUGGGGGGGAUGUCACAUGUGACGGGGAUGUGAACGCAGACAAAUCAGCAGCAAACAUCGGCAAACUCUGCAAGGCCGAGUCUCAGACUCUCAUGUCAUGGAGACGCUGUGUCUUUCGUUAAAAAAAUUUGUGCGGCUCAUUUCCAGACGGCUGCUUCACGAACGCUUUGGUUAAAAGUGGGGCUAUUCCAACCAUAAAAACUUUACAAGGACAGUCUGGAGCUUCUGAUUUACAGCCUUUUCACAGAUAUUCAGAUGAGUCUACGGCACUGGACUCAACAGUUGUGGAGCAGACGGCUGGGGGGGAUGUCACAUGUGAAGGAUGUGAACGCAGACAAAUCAGCAGCAAACAUCGGCAAACUCAGCAAGGCCGAGUCUCAGACUCUCAUGUCACUUAGGUAGCACGUCCAUCCUUCUUCUCCAAUCCUCUUGUUAUCACUAUCUCUCCGAAAGCUGUUUCAUCCAAUAAUAAUCAUAACUGUUUGAUCAGAAUAAGGAUGAUUAGUAUUUUUCUAUGUUAAACAUUCACAUUUAAACAUGUCUCUUGCUUUUUUAUGUUCGCUAUGGUCAAAUACUUUUGUGUACACAUUUGAUAGUUUUACCCUUGUCUCAGUUCCAAACUGUCAGAAAAUAUGAAUCCCUAUACGACAUUUUGAAAUCUAAUAUAAUUUUGAGGAAUUUUACACUCCACAUUAAUAUUAACUAUGGCGAAAAAGACUUAAAUUUUGACUUUCCCUCAAUACCACAACAAACUAGUUGGGUUUUUCCAAACAUUGCUUAGCAUUUCUCAUCGCUUUAAACAGUGGUUCUUAACUUUGUCCCGCGAGAUCCAUUUUCCUGCAGAGUUUAGCCCCAACUCUGAUAUAAAACACCUGAAAAGGCUAAUCAGUGACUUCAGAAACAGACGCGCACAACUUAAUGCGGGGCUGCACAGAUUUCUUGACAUGUCGCAUUAAAGUACCGCGAGAUCGAUUCAAAUGCGCACGGAGCAAUCUGCACUUGAAUCACUGUCGCAGUACUUCAAUGUCACAAGCUGGUAGAUUUUCGCAGCGCCGCAUUAAGUUGAAC